rnacentral:rRNA from 1 species
CAGUCGCCGCGGUAAUACAGAGGGUGCGAGCGUUAAUCGGAUUUACUGGGCGUAAAGCGUGCGUAGGCGGCUUCUUAAGUCGGAUGUGAAAUCCCUGAGCUUAACUUAGGAAUUGCAUUCGAUACUGGGAAGCUAGAGUAUGGGAGAGGAUGGUAGAAUUCCAGGUGUAGCGGUGAAAUGCGUAGAGAUCUGGAGGAAUACCGAUGGCGAAGGCAGCCAUCUGGCCUAAUACUGACGCUGAGGUACGAAAGCAUGGGGAGCAAACAGGAUUAGAUACCCCCGUAGUCCCUGUCUCUUAACA